rnacentral:rRNA from 1 species
CAUAAUCAUUAGUUUUUUAAUUGAAAACUUGUAUGAAUGAUUUAACAAAAAAAAUUCUGUCUUUAUGUUUAAAAUUGAAUUUAACUUUUAAGUGAAAAGGCUUAAAUUUUUUAAGAAGACGAUAAGACCCUAUAAAGCUUUAUAAUAAAUUUAUUAUUUUUAUAAAUAGAUUAAAGUAGAAAAAUAUAUUUUAUUAUUGUAUUGGGGCGAUAUAAAUAUAAAUAAAAUAACUGUUUGAAAAAUAAACAUAAGGUUUAUGAUGAGUAAAUGAUCCUAAUAUUUAGAUUAGAAAAAUAAGUUACUUUAGGGAUAACAGCAUAAUUUCUUUUAAGAGUUCAUAUUGAAAAAGAAGUUUGUGACCUCGAUGUUGAAUUAAAAAAUCUUUACAGUGCAGCCGUUGUAAGAAG